CUUUGUUUGAAAUUAGAUAAGGGUUAUAUAUUUUAAACCAAGAAGAAACCACUCUGUGGUCCCGGGAACACAGUGCCUCAGAGAAAAUCCAGAAAGCUCUAACGGCUUACCAACAUCACCUUUCUUAAGACAGAUCAUUUCAUGUCUGUUGCAUGAACAUGGAUGUGCCACCCUGUCAUAUUGGUUCUGAUCUCCAUGAUGUCUUUCAUAAGAAGACAUACUGCAGAAAGGAAGGACUCUCUACCAUUGGAAUUUUAUCUACAUCAGAAAAAAGACUGCUAGAACAGCGAAGUGGCCUUAGCCUCAAGAACGAUGGUGCUCUGUGCUUUCAUCAUGAGAAAGUAUAUUUAAUGCGUUAUGAAACUCUUCAGAAAGUUUGCUGUGACCCGUCUGAAAGGCAUAAAAAGGCCCGCAAAAGUAACGUCCAUGUGAUGAAUGAAGUCAAGACUGAGCUACUCAAAGUUAAACCAGGCCAAAAGCUGUGCAAUAAUUGCACUACAAUCUUCCUGAAAAAGUUCAAACCAGCCGAUCUUUCAUCACCUAGUGAAGAGUUUGAACCUGAACCAUGCAUUUCACAGUUUCACAGUUGGUGCCAGUUAUGAAGCCCUUGGUUGCUCUUCAGUGAAAAAGGUUUCCGGACGUGGCAGGCAACUAUAUACCUAGCGAAAAGUUAAGGACAUACACAAAGCUGCAAAGUCCAAGGUUGCCAAGGUACAUGAUGUACCAUCUCAGGACUUUUCCUCUGAAGCAGAGAGGUGUCUAAGGUGCCAAGAGUGGGAUUGAUUAUUGACACUGAUCAAAGGAAAGUGUGCCAUUUCUUCAAGGUGGGAGAAAAUAAGAAUUCUCGCUCUUGCUCCAGAGACUUGGAGUGUGCAAAAGAUUGCUGCUGAAUUUGGAGUAUCCAGGUACUUGGCAAAAAGAGGAGUGGAACUUCGAAAGAGCCAAGGAAUUCUAGCUGCGCCUGAUCCAUACUGAGACAAUCCUCUUAACUCAGAAAUAAAGGAGCGCGAGAUUGUCUUUUAUCAGUCUGAUGACUUUUCCAGAAUGUGCCCUGGACAGAAGGACUGUGUUUCACUCACAAUUGAUGGUGUGUGCACACAAAUGCACAAAUGUUUGAUUUUGAUAAACCUUCAAGAACUAUACUUGGAGUACAAAAAUCAAACUGGCAUCAAAAUUGGCUUCUCUAAAUUUUGCAAACUUGGACCAAAAUUGUGUCUUACAGUCACCUGUGAGAGUAUGUAUGUGUGUGUUUAUGCGUGUGUGUUUAUGCAUGUGUGUGUUUAUGUAUGUGUGUGUUUAUGUAUGUCAAUCAAUCAAUCAAUCAAUCAACAACUUUAUUAAUCCCAAAGGGCAAUUCAGUUCGCACAUCUCUGGUCAUGCACAAUAUAUAAAUAUAAAUAAUAAAAAGAAAGAAAGACAGACACUAGACAUUCGAACCACAGUGCAUCAGGGACACAGCAACAAAUUCACUUUCCGUUUAAAAUCCUUAUGGCAGAAGGAAUAAAAGAUUUGGCAUAGCGGUUAGUCCUUUGCUGUGGGGUGACAUAGCGCCUCCCAGAGGGCAUCUUCACGAACUGUGAACGCAGCACAUGGCUAGGCUGGCUCAAUAUGGUCUUAGUCCUUUGUAACACCCGAUGUCUCCACACAGAGGCCAAAUCCUCCAUCUGAACACCACUGAUUUUGCUGCAAACUUUUACAAUCUGGUUCAGACUGUUCUUGUCUUUCACAGAUAAUCCAUAAAACCAACAGAUAAAAGAAAAGGUCAGCAAACUUUCAAUAAAAGAAUGAUAAAAAUUAUUUAAAAUAUUAGGCGAUACAUUAAAAGAGCUGAGCUUCCGCAUCAAGUGAAGCCGCUGCUGUCCUCGUUUGACGAUGUGCUCAGUGUUCUUAUCGAACCUUAAAGAGGAAUCAAACACAGUUCCCAAGUACUUAUAAGAGUCUACCAUUUCUAUGGCUUCUCCAUGGAUGGAACUGGCUAUUGGGCUGUGGACUUUUUUCCGGAAGUCUACAACCAUUUCUUUGGUUUUGGCUACAUUUAGGUCCAGGUAGUUAUUAUCACACCAUUCAAUGAAAGCAGGUAAAGCUCGGCCAUGGUCAGAGUUUGCUCCCUGCAGGAGAGAGAGGAGGACAGUAUCAUCUGAAAACUUGAUCAUGUAGCUGCCCUCAUUUGCGGACCUACAACUGUGUGUGUUUAUGUAUGUGUGUGUUUAUGUAUGUAUGUGUUUAUGUGUGUGUGUGUUUAUGUAUGUGUGUGUUUAUGUGUCUGUGUGUUUAUGUGUGUGUGUGUUUAUGUGUGUGUGUGUGUUUAUGUGUGUGUGUGUUUAUGUGUGUGUGUGUUUAUGUAUGUAUGAGUGUUUAUGUAUGUAUGUGUGUUUAUGUAUGUGUGUGUUUUUGUGUGUGUGUGUUUAUGUAUGUAUGUGUGUGUGUUUAUGUGUGUGUGUGUUUAUGUGUGUGUGUUUAUGUGUGUGUGUGUGUUUAUGUAUGUAUGUGUGUGUGUUUAUGUAUGUAUGUGUUUAUGUGUGUGUGUGUUAUGUAUGUAUGUAUGUGUGUGUGUUUAUGUAUGUGUGUGUUUAUGUGUGUGUGUGUUUAUGUAUGUAUGUGUGUGUGUUUAUGUGUGUAUGUGUGUUUAUGUAUGUA